CCCUUAGAUGUUCUGGGCCGCACACGCGCUACACUGAAGGAGGCAGCGUGUACUCCUGGAUCGAAAGAUUUGGGUAACCCGCGAAUCUCCUUCGUGCUAGGGAUUGAGGUUUGCAAUUAUCCUUCAUGAACGAGGAAUUCCCAGUAAGUGCAAGUCAUAAGCUUGCGCUGACUACGUCCCUGCCCUUUGUACACACCGCCCGUCGCUACUACCGAUUGAAUGAUUUAGUGAGGACUUCGGACUGGGACCGAUGCGGCUUUCGCGCUGCGUCGGUAUUCUGGAAAGAUGUCCAAACUGUAUCAUUUAGAGGAAGUAAAAGUCGUAACA
rnacentral:rRNA from 1 species